rnacentral:rRNA from 1 species
CCUACGGGUGGCAGCAGUGAGGAAUAUUGGUCAAUGGGCGGGAGCCUGAACCAGCCAAGUCGCGUGAAGGAAGAAGGUACUUAGUAUUGUAAACUUCUUUUGUCGGGGAACAAAGUCGGAGACGCGUCCCCGGCUGAGUGUACCCGAAGAAAAAGCAUCGGCUAACUCCGUGCCAGCAGCCGCGGUAAUCCGGAGGAUACGAGCGUUAUCCGGAUUUGUUGGGUUUAAGGGGUGCGCAGGGGGGAGAUCAAGUCAGCGGUAAAAGGUCGGGGCUCAAGCGCGACCGGCCGUUGAAACUGGUUGUCUGGAGUGGGAGAGAAGUAGGCGGAAUUCGUGGUGUAGCGGUGAAAUGCAUAGAUAUCACGAAGAACUCCGAUUGCGAAGGCAGUAUACCGGCUCCAGACUGACGCUGAGGCACGAAAGCGUGGGGAUCGAACAGGAUUAGAUACCCUGGUAGUC